GCGGGGAUAGCUCAGUUGGGAGAGCGUGACACUGAAGAUCUGAAGGUCGCGUGUUCGAUCCACGCUCACCGCA
rnacentral:tRNA from 2 species